rnacentral:rRNA from 1 species
CACGUAGGGGACGAGCGUUGUCCGGAUUCAUUGGGCGUAAAGCGCGCGUAGGCGGCUCGGAAAGUCGGGCGUGAAAUGCCGGGGCUCAACCCCGGGACUGCGUCCGAUACUGGCAGGCUUGAAUCCGGGAGAGGGAUGUGGAAUUCCAGGUGUAGCGGUGAAUGCGUAGAUAUCUGGAGGAACACCGGUGGCGAAGGCGGCAUCCUGGACCGGC